rnacentral:rRNA from 1 species
AAGAUUAAGCCAUGCAUGUCUAAGUAUAAGCAAUUAUACAGCGAAACUGCGAAUGGCUCAUUAUAUAAGUUAUCGUUUAUUUGAUAGUGCCUUACUACUUGGAUAACCGUGGUAAUUCUAGAGCUAAUACAUGCUACAAACCCUGACUUCGGAAGGGGUGUAUUUAUUAGAUUAAAAACCAAUGCCCUCUGGGCUCCUUGGUGAAUCAUGAUAACUUCACGAAUCGCACGGCCUUGUGCCGGCGAUGGCUCAUUCAAAUUUCUUCCCUAUCAACUUUCGAUGUUUGGGUAGUGGCCAAACAUGGUUGCAACGGGUAACGGAGGGUUAGGGCUCGACCCCGGAGAAGGAGCCUGAGAAACGGCUACUACAUCCAAGGAAGGCAGCAGGCGCGCAAAUUACCCAAUCCCGAUUCGGGGAGGUAGUGACAAUAAAUACUGAUACAGGGCUCUUUCGGGUCUUGUAAUCGGAAUGAGUACAAUUUAAAUCCCUUAACGAGGAACAAUUGGAGGGCAAGUCUGGUGCCAGCAGCCGCGGUAAUUCCAGCUCCAAUAGCGUAUAUUAAAGUUGUUGUGGUUAAAAAGCUCGUAGUUGAACCUUGGGCCUGGCUGGCCGGUCCGCCUCACCGCGUGUACUGGUCCGGCCGGGCCUUUCCCUCUGUGGAACCUCAUGCCCUUCACUGGGUGUGCUGGGGAAACAGGACUUUUACUUUGAAAAAAUUAGAGUGCUCCAGGCAGGCCUAUGCUCGAAUACAUUAGCAUGGAAUAAUAAAAUAGGACGUGUGGUUCUAUUUUGUUGGUUUCUAGGACCGCCGUAAUGAUUAAUAGGGACAGUCGGGGGCAUCAGUAUUCAAUUGUCAGAGGUGAAAUUCUUGGAUUUAUUGAAGACUAACUACUGCGAAAGCAUUUGCCAAGGAUGUUUUCAUUAAUCAGGAACGAAAGUUAGGGGAUCGAAAACGAUCAGAUACCGUUGUAGUCUUAACCAUAAACUAUGCCGACUAGGGAUCGGACGAUGUUAUUUUUUGACUCGUUCGGCACCUUACGAGAAAUCAAAGUGCUUGGGCUCCAGGGGGAGUAUGGUCGCAAGGCUG